rnacentral:rRNA from 1 species
GUAAUACCAGCACCUCGAGUGGUCAGGACGUUUAUUGGGCCUAAAGCAUCCGUAGCCGGCUCUGCAAGUCUUCGGUUAGAUCCACCUGCUCAACAGAUGGGCCGCUGGAGAUACUACAGAGCUAGGGAGUGGGAGAGGCAGACGGUAUUCAGUGGGUAGGGGUAAAAUCCUCUGAUCCAUUGAGGACCACCAGUGGCGAAGGCGGUCUGCCAGAACACGUUCGACGGUGAGGGAUGAAAGCUGGGGGAGCAAACCGGAUUAGAUGCCCGGGUAGUCCCAGCUGUAAACGAUGCAAACUCGGUGAUGCAUUGGCUUAUGGCCAAUGCAGUGCCGCAGGGAAGCCGUUAAGUUUGCCGCCUGGGAAGUACGGACGCAAGUCUGAAACUUAAAGGAAUUGGCGGGGGAGCACCACAAGGGGUGAAGCCUGCGGUUCAAUUGGAGUCAACGCCAGGAAUCUUACCCGGGGAGACAGCAGAAUGAAGGUCAAGCUGAAGACUUUACCAGACAAGCUGAGAGGAGGUGCAUGGCCGUCGCCAGCUCGUGCCGUGAGGUGUCCUGUUAAGUCAGGUAACGAGCGAGAUCCCUGCCCUUAGUUGCUGCAGUUACUCUCAGGAGUAGCUGGGCUAACUAAGGGGACCGCCACUGCUGAAGUGGAGGAAGGAGGGGGCCACGGCAGGUCAGUAUGCCCCGAAACCCUGGGGCUACACGCGGGCUGCAAUGAUAGAGACAACGGGUUCCGAACUCGAAAGAGGGAGGCAAUCCUUAAACUCUAUCUCAGUUAUGAUUGAGGGCUGCAACUCGCCCUCAUGAAUAUGGAAUCCCUAGUAACCGCGCGUCAUAACCGCGCAGUGAAUACGUCCCUGCUCCUUGCACACACCGCCCGUCGCUUCAUUGAAGUUGGGUUUGUGCGAGGUGACGCCUAAUUGACGUCAUCGAACACGAGUUUAGUAACAAGGGAG